rnacentral:lncRNA from 1 species
UAUACACCCUUUGUGUCGUCCCAUUUUAGCAUCCUGGGACCUGUGAUAACUACACUUUUCCAAGAUUACUUUUCAGGAGCCCACUCAGGUUGAUGCUCAAGUAAACUAGCUUUAGUUCACCAUUUUCUGUCAACAAAUAUUUAUUGUGCAUCUAUUAUGGCCAGGCACACUUCUGGCACUGAGGAUGCAGAAGAAAACAAAACUGACAAAAAUCCCUACCCACAUGAAGAUUACAUGGAGUGAAGUGGAAGUGGGUGGGAGGAAAGCAAAAAAAAUAAAAUGUUUUAAUUAGAGGGUGCUUAAGAACUACUGAGAAAAAUAAAGCAAGGAAAGAUAGAAAGGGAGUGGGUUCUGACAUCACCUUUAAUAGGGUAAUCAGGAAGGGUUACAUUGACAGACAUUUGAACCAUGAUCAGGUAGACAUAAGGGAGCAAGCACAAGAAUAAGUGGGGGAAGAACUUUCCAUAGGGAAGAAAAAGCAAGCAUCAAAAUUAUCAGGAAGAGUCAGCAAAGAACACUCAAGUAUUCUGUUUGAAUAUUGAUAAGAGAUACAGCCUUCCUGGUGUUCAGAGUCUGUGGGUGGACUUGUACUCAGACAACCUAAUAAUUAAACAGUGACAGAAUCCAAACCAGUCCUCCAAUCCAACAGUGUUCCAGAAUCCUAUCCUGGCCAGCUGCUAUGUUAGAUUGGAGGCUGGAUUCCAGAGUUUCCAAAAACCUAACAAUUGAGGAACCUACCCUCAAUGCCCUCUUCAGCAUGUGGCUCAAGCAUACAGCCCUGCUUACUGACUGGCCUUCUAAACUUCUAAGAGACAAGAGAGUUCAUUCACAGAAUAGAAUAUGAAUUCUCAAAGUGUUAUCCAGGGAACUGUGAGUGUCCCCAAAAACUGUUCCAGGAGACUGAAAAGUCAAAAGUUUUACAUAAUAUUAAAAUACCUUCCUCUUUGACCCUCAUUCUCUCACAAGCUUACAGUAGAAUUGUCCAGAUGCUGCAUGAGUGUAAAGACAUCACCCUGCUGGAUGGUUAAUGGAAUAGGGCAC